rnacentral:misc_RNA from 1 species
GAUGAAGAACGCAGCGAAAUGCGAUACGUAAUGUGAAUUGCAGAAUUCAGUGAAUCAUCGAGUCUUUGAACGCACAUUGCGCCCCCUGGUAUUCCGGGGGGCAUGCCUGUCCGAGCGUCAUUGCUGCCCUCAAGCACGGCUUGUGUGUUGGGCCUCCGUCCUCCUCCCGGGGGACGGGCCCGAAAGGCAGCGGCGGCACCGCGUCCGGUCCUCGAGCGUAUGGGGCUUCGUCACCCGCUCUUGUAGGCCCGGCCGGCGCUUGCCGACACAUCAAUCUUUUUUCCAGGUUGACCUCGGAUCAGGUAGGGAUACCCGCUGAACUUAAGCAUAUCAAAUAAGCGGAGGA